UACGUAGGGUGCAAGCGUUGUCCGGAAUUAUUGGGCGUAAAGAGCUCGUAGGCGGUUUGUUGCGUCGGCUGUGAAAUCCCGAGGCUCAACCUCGGGUCUGCAGUCGAUACGAGCAAACUAGAGUGUUGCAGGGGAGACUGGAAUUCCUGGUGUAGCGGUGAAAUGCGCAGAUAUCAGGAGGAACACCGGUGGCGAAGGCGGGUCUCUGGGCAACAACUGACGUGGAGGAGCGAAAGCGUGGGAGCGAACAGG
rnacentral:rRNA from 1 species